AGUAGACGUUCAGAGUUUGGCUCAGGAUGAACGCUAGCGGCAGGCCUAAUACAUGCAAGCCGAACGGCAAGUUGAGUAGCAAUACUUGACCUAGAGUGGCGUAAGGGUGCGUAACACGUAUGCAAUCUGCCCUGUACAGGAGAAUAGCUCCCCGAAAGGGGAAUUAAUACUCCGUAAUAUAGAGGUGUGGGCAUCACACUACUAUUAAAACUGAGGUGGUACAGGAUGAGCAUGCGCAUGAUUAGUUAGUUGGCGGGGUAACGGCCCACCAAGACGAUGAUCAUUAGGGGAACUGAGAGGUUGAUCCCCCACACUGGCACUGAGAUACGGGCCAG
rnacentral:rRNA from 1 species